UGGGGAAUUUUGGACAAUGGGCGCAAGCCUGAUCCAGCAAUGCCGCGUGCAGGAUGAAGGCCUUCGGGUUGUAAACUGCUUUUGUACGGAACGAAAAGCUUCUGGUUAAUACCUGGGAGUCAUGACGGUACCGUAAGAAUAAGCACCGGCUAACUCCGUGCCAGCAGCCGCGGUAAUACGAAGGGUGCAAGCGUUACUCGGAAUUACUGGGCGUAAAGCGUGCGUAGGGGGUGGUUUAAGUCUGCUGUGAAAGCCCUGGGCUCAACCUGGGAAUUGCAGUGGAUACUGGAUCACUAGAGUGUGGUAGAGAGAUGCGGAAUUUCUGGUGUAGCAGUGAAAUGCGUAGAUAUGCGGAGGAACACCGAUGGCGAAGGCAAUCCCCUGGGCCUGUACUGACGCUCAUGCACGAAAGCGUGGGGAGCAAACA
rnacentral:rRNA from 1 species